rnacentral:rRNA from 1 species
GACGAACGCUGGCGGCGUGCUUAACACAUGCAAGUCGAACGGUGAACCUCUUCGGAGGGGAUCAGUGGCGAACGGGUGAGUAACACGUGGGCAACCUGCCCCCGGCUCUGGGAUAACUCCAAGAAAUUGGGGCUAAUACCGGAUGUUCACCGCUUCCCGCAUGGGUGGUGGUGGAAAGGGUUUCCGGCUGGGGAUGGGCCCGCGGCCUAUCAGCUUGUUGGUGGGGUAGUGGCCUACCAAGGCGACGACGGGUAGCCGGCCUGAGAGGGUGACCGGCCACCAGGGGACUGAGACACGGCCCAGACUCCUACGGGAGGCAGCAGGGGGGAAUAUUGCGCAAUGGGCGGAAGCCUGACGCAGCGACGCCGCGUGGGGGAAGACGGCCUUCGGGUUGGAAACCUCUUUCAGCAGGGACGAAGCGCAAGUGACGGUACCUGCAGAAGAAGCACCGGCCAACUACGUG